rnacentral:rRNA from 1 species
UGGGGAAUCUUGGACAAUGGGGGCAACCCUGAUCCAGCGACGCCGCGUGGGUGAUGAAGGCCUUCGGGUUGUAAAGCCCUUUCACCGGGGACGAUGAUGACGGUACCCGGAGAAGAAGCACCGGGUAACUCCGUGCCAGCAGCCGCGGUAAGACCGAGGGACCUAGCGUUGUUCGGAAUCACUGGGCGUAAAGGGCGCGUAGGCGGCGCUGGCAGUCGGCUCGUGAAAGCCCGGGGCUCAACCCCGGAGGUGCGGCCGAUACUCCAGUGCUGGAGGCCGGAAGAGGAGGGUGGAAUACCCAGUGUAGAGGUGAAAUUCGUAGAUAUUGGGUGGAACACCGGUGGCGAAAGCGGCUCUCUGGUCCGGUCCUGACGCUGAGGCGCGAAAGCGUGGGGAGCAAACAGGAUUAGAUACCCCUGUAGUCC